rnacentral:rRNA from 1 species
AUUGAACGCUGGCGGCAUGCCUUACACAUGCAAGUCGAACGGCAGCACGGGUGCUUGCACCUGGUGGCGAGUGGCGAACGGGUGAGUAAUACAUCGGAACAUGUCCUGUAGUGGGGGAUAGCCCGGCGAAAGCCGGAUUAAUACCGCAUACGAUCUACGGAUGAAAGCGGGGGACCUUCGGGCCUCGCGCUAUAGGGUUGGCCGAUGGCUGAUUAGCUAGUUGGUGGGGUAAAGGCCUACCAAGGCGACGAUCAGUAGCUGGUCUGUGAGGACGACCAGCCACACUGGGACUGAGACACGGCCCAGACUCCUACGGGAGGCAGCAGUGGGGAAUUUUGGACAAUGGGCGAAAGCCUGAUCCAGCAAUGCCGCGUGUGUGAAGAAGGCCUUCGGGUUGUAAAGCACUUUUGUCCGGAAAGAAAUCCUUGGCCCUAAUACGGUCGGGGGAUGACGGUACCGGAAGAAUAAGCACCGGCUAACUACGUG